CCUACGGGUGGCAGCAGUGGGGAAUAUUGGACAAUGGGGGCAACCCUGAUCCAGCCAUGCCGCGUGUGUGAAGAAGGCCCUCGGGUUGUAAAGCACUUUCAGUGAGGAAGAACGCCUGGUGGUUAAUACCCAUCAGGAAAGACAUCACUCACAGAAGAAGCACCGGCUAACUCCGUGCCAGCAGCCGCGGUAAUACGGAGGGUGCGAGCGUUAAUCGGAAUUACUGGGCGUAAAGCGCGCGUAGGUGGCUUGAUAAGCCGGAUGUGAAAGCCCCGGGCUCAACCUGGGAACGGCAUCCGGAACUGUCAAGCUAGAGUGCAGGAGAGGAAGGUAGAAUUCCCGGUGUAGCGGUGAAAUGCGUAGAGAUCGGGAGGAAUACCAGUGGCGAAGGCGGCCUUCUGGACUGACACUGACACUGAGGUGCGAAAGCGUGGGUAGCAAACAGGAUUAGAUACCCGUGUAGUC
rnacentral:rRNA from 1 species